rnacentral:lncRNA from 1 species
GGGUGUUGGUUUUCUGCAGAGGCCCAGUCAGAUUCGGCCAGGAGCAAGAUGUGGACAGGAGUUGUGGGGAUUGUCCUGGGCCUGGUAUUUCUGGCCGCCGGAUUCACUUUCUAUCUGCACAGUAAGAAAGGACUCCGCAGUUAAGCUUCUCAGCCACAGACAUGUCCCACCAUGGGAAAGGACCUGCUUCCUCCCUCUCGCAGCUGCUUCUUUCUUGCUCCGAG